GAUGAACGCUGGCGGCGUGCUUAACACAUGCAAGUCGAACGGAAAGGCUCCUGCUUGCAGGGGUACUCGAGUGGCGAACGGGUGAGUAACACGUGGGUGAUCUGCCCUGCACUUCGGGAUAAGCCUGGGAAACUGGGUCUAAUACCGGAUAGGACCACAUUUUGGAUGGUGUGGUGGAAAGUUUUUCGGUGUGGGAUGAGCUCGCGGCCUAUCAGCUUGUUGGUGGGGUAAUGGCCUACCAAGGCGUCGACGGGUAGCCGGCCUGAGAGGGUGUACAGCCACAUUGGGACUGAGAUACGGCCCAGACUCCUACGGGAGGCAGCAGUGGGGAAUAUUGCACAAUGGGCGCAAGCCUGAUGCAGCGACGCCGCGUGGGGGAUGACGGCCUUCGGGUUGUAAACUCCUUUCGCUAGGGACGAAGCGUUUUUGUGACGGUACCUGGAGAAGAAGCACCGGCUAACUACGUG
rnacentral:rRNA from 1 species